CGUUAAAUUUUACAAUAGUCUACCAUCUGACAUUCAACGGGAAACCUAUAAAGCUUAAAAAAAAACGGUUUUUCAACACCUGGUUAACAUUGAGCCGUAUACUGUGGUGGAGUACCUGGCCUAUCAGCCUUGAUCAGCAUAUAUGUAAUUUGUAUUGUUUGUAUAUUUUAGUGUAUUGUUAAUAUAUCUUUUUAAUAUGUGAUUAUUAGUAAUAUUUUUUAAUAUGUGAUUGUUAGUAAUGUGACGUUAUUUGCUCAAUUAUGUUAAAAAUUUAUGCAAAUAAAAAUUUACUCUACUCUACUCUACUCUAAUAUAUGAAGGUAUGUUACUUGUUACCAGAAAAAUCUAUAUGCUCUAAUCUAAUAUUUUUGUCUUAUAGGUAAUAAUGUCAAGACGAAGCUUAAUGUUAAACCUUGUCCUCAAAGGGAAAACAGUUAAUGCACUCCAGUUAACAAGAAGUUUACUCAAGAUGAUGAAAAUCAAUCCUACUAUGUAGGGCUAAAAAAAAAAUAAUGAGUGCACCUGUAUUCUUCAGGUGGAGUGGAUUCUAAACAAAGUACAUACUGACACAAUUAAGAAAUAAUUAAAAGACUGAGAUAAUUGAGACAUUUUAUUACUUAUAGCAUUGAGUUUGUUAUUUAGAUUACAAGUCAAUGAUUUUAUUGUUUUAAAAAUCAAUAUAUAAUAAUUUCGUCGUUUAAUGUUAAUUUUGUAAAAUAUGUCAAUAAACUAAAUAAAUAAUUUAUUUUAAUAUAA